AUCACCAAACCAGUGUUGUUCAACAUGUCCAAAUGGCUUGAACUGCAAACACGGUGACGUCAUCAUCAAGAUGGGCGAGGUGUAUCACCCAGACAAAGCGACUGCGUGUCAGUGUAACUUCGGUAGCCCCUACCUCGGCUUCGGCAGCCUUGAAUUAAAGGCAACUUGCACCUCAAUCUGAAUAAAUAUGUGUUUGUA